GGGUUGUGAGGUUAAGCGACUAAGCGUACACGGUGGAUGCCCUGGCAGUCAGAGGCGAUGAAGGACGUGCUAAUCUGCGAUAAGCGUCGGUAAGGUGAUAUGAACCGUUAUAACCGGCGAUUUCCGAAUGGGGAAACCCAGUGUGUUUCGACACACUAUCAUUAACUGAAUCCAUAGGUUAAUGAGGCGAACCGGGGGAACUGAAACAUCUAAGUACCCCGAGGAAAAGAAAUCAACCGAGAUUCCCCCAGUAGCGGCGAGCGAACGGGGAGCAGCCCAGAGCCUGAAUCAGUAUGUGUGUUAGUGGAAGCGUCUGGAAAGGCGCGCGAUACAGGGUGACAGCCCCGUACACAAAAAUGCACAUGCUGUGAGCUCGAUGAGUAGGGCGGGACACGUGGUAUCCUGUCUGAAUAUGGGGGGACCAUCCUCCAAGGCUAAAUACUCCUGACUGACCGAUAGUGAACCAGUACCGUGAGGGAAAGGCGAAAAGAACCCCGGCGAGGGGAGUGAAAAAGAACCUGAAACCGUGUACGUACAAGCAGUGGGAGCACGCUUAGGCGUGUGACUGCGUACCUUUUGUAUAAUGGGUCAGCGACUUAUAUUCUGUAGCAAGGUUAACCGAAUAGGGGAGCCGAAGGGAAACCGAGUCUUAACUGGGCGUUAAGUUGCAGGGUAUAGACCCGAAACCCGGUGAUCUAGCCAUGGGCAGGUUGAAGGUUGGGUAACACUAACUGGAGGACCGAACCGACUAAUGUUGAAAAAUUAGCGGAUGACUUGUGGCUGGGGGUGAAAGGCCAAUCAAACCGGGAGAUAGCUGGUUCUCCCCGAAAGCUAUUUAGGUAGCGCCUCGUGAAUUCAUCUCCGGGGGUAGAGCACUGUUUCGGCAAGGGGGUCAUCCCGACUUACCAACCCGAUGCAAACUGCGAAUACCGGAGAAUGUUAUCACGGGAGACACACGGCGGGUGCUAACGUCCGUCGUGAAGAGGGAAACAACCCAGACCGCCAGCUAAGGUCCCAAAGUCAUGGUUAAGUGGGAAACGAUGUGGGAAGGCCCAGACAGCCAGGAUGUUGGCUUAGAAGCAGCCAUCAUUUAAAGAAAGCGUAAUAGCUCACUGGUCGAGUCGGCCUGCGCGGAAGAUGUAACGGGGCUAAACCAUGCACCGAAGCUGCGGCAGCGACGCUGAUGCGUUGUUGGGUAGGGGAGCGUUCUGUAAGCCUGCGAAGGUGUGCUGUGAGGCAUGCUGGAGGUAUCAGAAGUGCGAAUGCUGACAUAAGUAACGAUAAAGCGGGUGAAAAGCCCGCUCGCCGGAAGACCAAGGGUUCCUGUCCAACGUUAAUCGGGGCAGGGUGAGUCGACCCCUAAGGCGAGGCCGAAAGGCGUAGUCGAUGGGAAACAGGUUAAUAUUCCUGUACUUGGUGUUACUGCGAAGGGGGGACGGAGAAGGCUAUGUUGGCCGGGCGACGGUUGUCCCGGUUUAAGCGUGUAGGCUGGUUUUCCAGGCAAAUCCGGAAAAUCAAGGCUGAGGCGUGAUGACGAGGCACUACGGUGCUGAAGCAACAAAUGCCCUGCUUCCAGGAAAAGCCUCUAAGCAUCAGGUAACAUCAAAUCGUACCCCAAACCGACACAGGUGGUCAGGUAGAGAAUACCAAGGCGCUUGAGAGAACUCGGGUGAAGGAACUAGGCAAAAUGGUGCCGUAACUUCGGGAGAAGGCACGCUGAUAUGUAGGUGAAGUCCCUCGCGGAUGGAGCUGAAAUCAGUCGAAGAUACCAGCUGGCUGCAACUGUUUAUUAAAAACACAGCACUGUGCAAACACGAAAGUGGACGUAUACGGUGUGACGCCUGCCCGGUGCCGGAAGGUUAAUUGAUGGGGUUAGCGCAAGCGAAGCUCUUGAUCGAAGCCCCGGUAAACGGCGGCCGUAACUAUAACGGUCCUAAGGUAGCGAAAUUCCUUGUCGGGUAAGUUCCGACCUGCACGAAUGGCGUAAUGAUGGCCAGGCUGUCUCCACCCGAGACUCAGUGAAAUUGAACUCGCUGUGAAGAUGCAGUGUACCCGCGGCAAGACGGAAAGACCCCGUGAACCUUUACUAUAGCUUGACACUGAACAUUGAGCCUUGAUGUGUAGGAUAGGUGGGAGGCUUUGAAGUGUGGACGCCAGUCUGCAUGGAGCCGACCUUGAAAUACCACCCUUUAAUGUUUGAUGUUCUAACGUUGACCCGUAAUCCGGGUUGCGGACAGUGUCUGGUGGGUAGUUUGACUGGGGCGGUCUCCUCCUAAAGAGUAACGGAGGAGCACGAAGGUUGGCUAAUCCUGGUCGGACAUCAGGAGGUUAGUGCAAUGGCAUAAGCCAGCUUGACUGCGAGCGUGACGGCGCGAGCAGGUGCGAAAGCAGGUCAUAGUGAUCCGGUGGUUCUGAAUGGAAGGGCCAUCGCUCAACGGAUAAAAGGUACUCCGGGGAUAACAGGCUGAUACCGCCCAAGAGUUCAUAUCGACGGCGGUGUUUGGCACCUCGAUGUCGGCUCAUCACAUCCUGGGGCUGAAGUAGGUCCCAAGGGUAUGGCUGUUCGCCAUUUAAAGUGGUACGCGAGCUGGGUUUAGAACGUCGUGAGACAGUUCGGUCCCUAUCUGCCGUGGGCGCUGGAGAACUGAGGGGGGCUGCUCCUAGUACGAGAGGACCGGAGUGGACGCAUCACUGGUGUUCGGGUUGUCAUGCCAAUGGCACUGCCCGGUAGCUAAAUGCGGAAGAGAUAAGUGCUGAAAGCAUCUAAGCACGAAACUUGCCCCGAGAUGAGUUCUCCCUGAC
rnacentral:rRNA from 1 species